rnacentral:rRNA from 1 species
GUACUCGAGCGGCGAACGGGUGAGUAACACGUGAGCAACCUGCCCUAGGCUUUGGGAUAACCCCGGGAAACCGGGGCUAAUACCGAAUAUGACCGCUGAUCGCAUGGUUGGUGGUGGAAAGUUUUUCGGCCUGGGAUGGGCUCGCGGCCUAUCAGCUUGUUGGUGGGGUGAUGGCCUACCAAGGCGACGACGGGUAGCCGGCCUGAGAGGGCGACCGGCCACACUGGGACUGAGACACGGCCCAGACUCCUACGGGAGGCAGCAGUGGGGAAUAUUGCACAAUGGGCGGAAGCCUGAUGCAGCGACGCCGCGUGAGGGAUGACGGCCUUCGGGUUGUAAACCUCUUUCAGCAGGGACGAAGCGUAAGUGACGGUACCUGCAGAAGAAGCGCCGGCCAACUACGUGCCAGCAGCCGCGGUAAGACGUAGGGCGCGAGCGUUGUCCGGAUUUAUUGGGCGUAAAGAGCUCGUAGGCGGCUUGUCGCGUCGACCGUGAAAACCUGGGGCUCAACCCCAGGCCUGCGGUCGAUACGGGCAGGCUAGAGUUCGGUAGGGGAGACUGGAAUUCCUGGUGUAGCGGUGAAAUGCGCAGAUAUCAGGAGGAACACCGGUGGCGAAGGCGGGUCUCUGGGCCGAUACUGACGCUGAGGAGCGAAAGCGUGGGGAGCGAACAGGAUUAGAUACCCUGGUAGUCCACGCUGUAAACGUUGGGCGCUAGGUGUG